rnacentral:RNase_P_RNA from 1 species
AGUUGGGCAAUUGCUGCUUAAGGGUGUUAAACUUGAGUAGAGGAAAGUCCGAACACCAAAGAACAGGGUGCCGGGUAACGCCCGGGAGCCAAUGGUGCAAGCUAUUGGUUACGGAAAGUGCUGCAGAAAAUAUACCGUCCGGCUGCUGCCGGAUAAGGGUGAAAAGGCAGGGUAAGAGCCUACCGCUUUGAUAGUAAUAUCAAGGGUCCCAGUGAUGGGAGUCCGGCUUAUGCCGGACCAGAGUAAACCCCACUCGGUGCAAGGUCAAGUAGAAGAAUUUUCCGUUUAACGGAAUAAAAGUUGUUCGCUUUAUUGUUCUUCGGGUAGACCGCUGGAUCCGGGCAGCAAUGUCCGGGCAAGAUAAAUAAUUGCCGUCCGGCAACUGCCGGAUACAGAAUUCGGCUUAUAGACUU